CUUGCUAUAAUUGUCAGCUAAGUGGCGCACGGGUGAGUAAUGUAUAGAUAACCUGCCCUUAAGAAAGGAAUAACAGUUGGAAACGACUGCUAAUGCCCUAUAUGCCUUUAAUACAUAAGUAUGCAAGGGAAACGCUUUAGUGCUUAAGGAUGGGUCUGUAUGGUAUCAGCUUGUUGGUGAGGUAAUGGCUCACCAAGGCUAUGACGCCUAACUGGUUUGAGAGGAUGAUCAGUCACACUGGAACUGAGACACGGUCCAGACUCCUACGGGAGGCAGCAGUGGGGAAUAUUGCACAAUGGACGAAAGUCUGAUGCAGCAACGCCGCGUGGAGGAUGACACAUUUCGGUGCGUAAACUCCUUUUAUAUAGGAAGAUAAUGACGGUACUAUAUGAAUAAGCACCGGCUAACUCCGUGCCAGCAGCCGCGGUAAUACGGAGGGUGCAAGCGUUACUCGGAAUCACUGGGCGUAAAGAGCGUGUAGGCGGGUAUAUAAGUCAGAAGUGAAAUCCAAUAGCUCAACUAUUGAACUGCCUUUGAAACUGUAUACCUAGAAUGUGGGAGAGGUAGAUGGAAUUUCUGGUGUAGGGGUAAAAUCCGUAGAGAUCAGAAGGAAUACCGAUUGCGAAGGCGAUCUACUGGAACAUUAUUGACGCUGAGACGCGAAAGCGUGGGGAGCAAACAGGAUUAGAUACCCUGGUAGUCCACGCCCUAAACGAUGUACACUAGUUGUUGUGAGGCUCGACCUUGCAGUAAUGCAGUUAACACAUUAAGUGUACCGCCUGGGGAGUACGGUCGCAAGA
rnacentral:rRNA from 1 species